rnacentral:lncRNA from 1 species
GUUCAUAAUUCUUUAAAGUAAUAAACUUUAUUUAAAUAAAUUCGGAUCUUCCCUCAUCUGAUCACCAGCAUGGCUAAAGGUAUUACUCCCAAAGGUAUUGGAAGGGGGGUGUAAGGUGACACGUCCAGGUAUUCAAUCGAUUUCCUGUCCGGCGGGCUUGCAAGUUCAUGCAUCGUUUCACUUCUGUAGGUAUUGAUCAGUGUACACGACCGUAACUUAUAACUUUCCAUUUUGAACUAUCAGGUGCAUGUAUAAUAUACAUUUUUGUUUUGCGUGUCCGAAAGUGAUAUAAU